rnacentral:lncRNA from 1 species
AGUUUGACGUCCUGCUCCUGCCCAGGCCUCGCCAGGCCCCGGCCCUCCGCAGGCCUCAGUUCCCUUGUCUAUAAAAUGGGAGGUGGAGCCCUUGGGAGCAGAGCUGCUCACCUUUUAAGAGCAUGUGAGUCACCUGGGAAUCUUUUUAAAGGCAGAUUCUGAUGCAGUGGAUCUGGGGUGGGGCCUGGGAAGCCGCAUUUCUAAUGAGCUCCCAGGUAAGGUCCAUGCUGCUGGAUCCUGGAUUCAUCUCUCUUUUUUUUGUUGUUGUUUUGUUUUUUGAGACGGAGUUUCACUCUGUCGCCCAGGCUGCAGUGCAGUGGCGCGAUCUCGGCUCACUGCAACCUCUGCCUCCUGGGUUCAAGUGAUUCUCCUCCUUCAGCCUCCCGAGUAGCUGGGAUUACAGGCGCCUGCCACCAUGACUGGCUAAUUUUUGUAUUUUUAGUAGAGACGGGGUUUCAGUAUGUUGGCCAGGCUGGUCUCGAAUUCCUGACAUCAGGUGAUCCACCCGCCUCGGCCUCCCAAAGUGCUAUUACAAGCUUGAGCCACCGCACCUGGCCUCUGGAUUCAUCUCUAAAGGACCCGCCAGCUCCGAUGACAAUUUGUUUUUUUGGGUUGAACGAGGAAGACCUGCCUGUGUCCCAAACCCUUCUGAAGAAGUGGCUGUUCAUGUGGUCAUUAACUUAUUCCCUCAUUCAUUCAUUCAACAAGCAUCCUCUGAGCCUCUCUCUGUGACAGGUCCCUGCCUGGUGCCAGGGAUAUAGAAAUAGACAAGAUCCUGUCCUGCCCUUGAGGAACUCAUGGACACAAGAACCAGAGAUUAGCACCCAAUGUGAUCAGUGCUGGGGGAGAAAGAAGCCCAGGGCAGAGGUGCGAGAAUACCAGAGGAGCCCCUCACUAGACAUGUGAGGAGGUCAGGGAAGGCUUUUGGGGGAGAAGACCCCUCCCCCUCCCCCUCCUUUGUUUUUUAUUUUUGAGAAAAGAUCUUGCUCUGUCACCCAGCAAUCACUGCUCGCUGUAUCCUCAACCUCCCAGGCUCAAGCUCAGCCUCCUGAGUAGCAGAGAUUACAGCCUGAAUCUGUCCUCCGGCUGCUCCUCACCUCUCCACUCGAUGUCUAAUGGAUGCCUCCAGCCCAGCAAGUUCACAUGAAGCUCUUGGCUCAAACCCCUUCCUCCACUGACUCUUCUUCUGGGACCCUCAUCCUUCUGUUCAGGAAGCCAAAAAGCUUGGUGUCAUCGUUCACUCCUUUUUCUCACCCCACAUCCAAUCCGUCAGGAAAGCCAGUGACCACCUUCAACAUACACCAGAGUCCCACGCCUUCUCACCACCUCGCCUAGACCACCUGGUCCAAGAUCUCUUGUUAAGGCACGUGCAGUGGCCUCCUGGCCCCAUCACUACUUCAGCCCUGGCCCCCUGCAGUCUAUUCCCAACUGGCACCUGGCCUGGAAGUGAGGCCAUGUUCACCCUCAGGCCCCACCUCACUUGGAGUAACAGCCAAGCCCUUCCCUGCCUACGAGACCCUCGGGGGCUGACCUGUUCUCCCACCACUGCUGGCCUCAGAGCCUUCGCACUGUCUGUUCCCUCUCCCUUUGAAACUCCCCCCAUCAUAUCUGCACAGUGCCCUGCCUCUUGCUUUCAGAUCUCUAUUCAGGGAGGUCUCCCCUGGCCAAUCUGCAUGCAGAUGAGGUCUCCGGUACUUCCCGUCUUAGACAUAUGUUUAUAUGUUCCUUAUCUGUCUCCUCUACUAGAAGUAAGUCUAUGAGGGCAGGAAUUUCUUUCUCCUGUGUUCCCUGCUGUAUUUUCAGUAUCUAGAAUGGUAUCUGGCAUGUAGUAGACCCAGAUAAAUAUUUGCUAAAUAAAUGAAUGAAUGAACAAGUGCCUCCUUCACCAGACAGUGAAGAUUUAAAUGGCAGACACAUGAUCGUACUCACCACCAUAGCCCGAGUACUUGAACCUAAUCAGGGCUCAGGAAAUACUUGCUGAAUCCAUGGGCAGAUGGAUGGAUGGAAGGAUGGAAGGAUGGAUGGAUGGAUGGAUGGAUGGAUGGAUGGAUGGAUGGAUGGAUAAACUGUCCCCAAGGGUUUCUACCAAGACAGGUACCCGGCCCAACUUUGCAGGAGGAGGCAGGUCUGUCCACCCUGGUGAUGCCUGAGCCCUAGAGUCUCCUAGGGGCAUCUGAGACACUGAGGUCCCAGUUCCUGACCACCCC